GGGAAAUCUUAUGGGCUCAGCACAUAGUUUGAUUUGAUCAUCUCACAACAGAAAAGCAAGAUUUUAAUAGACUGCUAACGUAAACCAAAGGAUUAAAUAUAAUAUGAAGCAAUAACUUUGCAUCAUUUGAAAUAAUAACCAUGCACUAAUGUAGAUGCUAAAAAAUCAUUAAUAUUCUUCACCAAUUAUACAAAUCACCAUUUUCCUCCACACGAGAGGUUUUAUAAUUGACAAUAACUGCAAAAAUUGGACAACAUUGUUCUCAGAAGGAGGGUAAAUCAUAUAAUGUAUGCAGCCAAAUGUGAUAUAAUAUAUGCUAUAGCACUGUAAAAACAAAUAUUUAUCACAUAAGAAAGAUAAGAAAAAGCAAGAGUUAAAUCUUCAAUUUUAAUAAGAAAAGGAAUUUUCUAGAGAAAAAA
rnacentral:misc_RNA from 1 species